rnacentral:snRNA from 1 species
AUCGCUUCUCGGCCUUUUGGCUAAGAUCAAGUGUAGUAUCUGUUCUUAUCAGUUUAAUAUCUGAUACGUCCCCUACCCGGGGACCAUAUAUUAAAUUGAUUUUUGGAUCAGGGAGCGAACGGGCUUGCUCCUUCCACUCCACGCAUCGACGGUAUUGCUCCAGUACGGUGCAUUCUCU